UCUGGCUGAAAUAGGAAGUGGAAACUGCUCUAAAACUAGAUAUGUGAUCAAUGAACUGCUGAAAGGCAGCAAACAUUACUUUUCUAUCCAGAGGACAUUUCUGAAGAGUUUCUGUCAAGAGCAGUGACGGAAUUGUCCAAGGAAUACGGCGAGUCACUUAUAAUUCGACCUAUAUUUGCGGACCACGAACAAGGAAUGGAGCAACUU